rnacentral:rRNA from 1 species
AGAGUUUGAUUCUGGCUCAGAACGAACGCUGGCAGCGUGGAUUAGGCAUGCAAGUCGAACGGGAAGCCGUCCUUUCAAUCUUCGGAGAGAAAGGGUGGUGGAGAGUGGCGAAAGGGUGAGUAACGCGUGGGCAAUCUGCCCUUAAGUUGGGGACAACCUCGCGAAAGCGGGGCUAAUACCGAAUACGGUCGGUUGAGGCAUCUCAACCUGACCAAAGAUGGGGACCCUUCGGGGCCUGUCGCUUAAGGAGGAGCCCGCGUCCCAUCAGCUUGUUGGUAGGGUAACGGCCUACCAAGGCUUACGGGUAGCUGGUCUGAGAGGAUGGUCAGCCACACUGGGACUGAGACACUGCCCAGACUCCUACGGGAGGCUGCAGUCGAGGAUCAUUCGCAAUGCGCGAAAGCGUGACGAUGCGACGCUGCGUGGAGGAUGAAGGCCUUCGGGUUGUAAACUCCUGUCAUGAGGAAAAAGACGCCCUGCUUCUAAUAAAGGCGGGGUUCGAUGGUACCUCAAGAGGAAGCCACGGCUAACUCUGUGCCAGCAGCCGCGGUAAUACAGAGGUGGCAAGCGUUGUUCGGAUUUACUGGGCGUAAAGCGUGCGCAGGCGGUCUCGUGUGUCGGGUGUGAAAUCCCACGGCUCAACCGUGGAAUUGCAUCCGAAACUGCGGGACUAGAGUGCAGGAUGGGAGAGCGGAAUUCUUGGUGUAGCGGUGAAAUGCGUUGAUAUCAAGAAGAACACCGGCGGCGAAGGCGGCUCUCUGGAAUGCAACUGACGCUCAAGCACGAAAGCUGGGGGAGCGAACAGGAUUAGAUACCCUGGUAGUCCCAGCCGUAAACGGUGCGCACUUGGUGUGGGGGGAAUUGACCCCCCCCGUGCCGGAGCCAACGCGUUAAGUGCGCCGCCUGGGGAGUACGGCCGCAAGGCUAAAACUCAAAGAAAUUGACGGGGGCCCGCACAAGCGGAGGAGCAUGUGGCUUAAUUCGAUGCAACGCGAAGAACCUUACCUGGGCUUGACAUGGUACUGCAGUCCCGAUGAAAGUCGGGAUGCCUUCGAGGGUGUACCACAGUUGCUGCAUGGCUGUCGUCAGUUCGUGCCGUGAGGUGUUGGGUUAAGUCCCGCAACGAACGCAACCCCUAUGUUUAGUUGCCACCGGCGGUGAUGAGCCGUCGAGCACUCUAGACAGACUGCCUGUACAAGCAGGAGGAAGGUGGGGAUGACGUCAAGUCAGUAUGGCCCUUACGCCCAGGGCUGCACACGUGCUACAAUGGUCGGUACAAUGGGACGCGAAGUCGCGAGGCGGAGCAAAUCCCCAGAACCGGCCCUAGUUCGGAUUGGAGCCUGCAACUCGACUCCAUGAAGUUGGAUUCGCUAGUAACGGCGCAUUAGCUACGGCGCCGUGAAUACGUUCCCGGGCCUUGUACACACCGCCCGUCACAUCAUGAAAGCCGUCUGCACCCGAAGUCGCUGAGCCAACCCGCAAGGGAAGCAGGUGCCGAAGGUGUGGGUGGUGAUUGGGAUGAAGUCGGAACAAGGUA